UGGCUCAGUUGCUAGAGUAUGGUGUUUGCAACGCCAGGGUUGUGGGUUCGAUUCCCAC
rnacentral:tRNA from 1 species